UACGGGGGGGGCAAGCGUUGUUCGGAAUUACUGGGCGUAAAGGGCUUGUAGGCGGCCAACUAAGUCAGACGUGAAAUCCCUCGGCUUAACCGGGGAACUGCGUCUGAUACUGGAUGGCUUGAGUUCGGGAGAGGGAUGCGGAAUUCCAGGUGUAGCGGUGAAAUGCGUAGAUAUCUGGAGGAACACCGGUGGCGAAGGCGGCAUCCUGGACCGACACUGACGCUGAACGGCGAAAGCUAGGGGAGCAAACGGG
rnacentral:rRNA from 1 species